GGAGAGGAGUGCAAUGUAAGCCAGUGUCAGCAUUCACAUAGAUGAUAAUUUCUCAGAUCCAGAUGUCUUCCAUUUUUCGAACCAACUCCUUCAACCUUUGCCUUGCGAGUCUCCAUGCACUGCUUUGGACUAUCAUGUCUUUAAUAAGGAGAUAUACAGCCCCAUUCAGGAGGGGGCGAAAUCGUUGUGGGAGAAGUAGGAUGCAGUGCGGGAUGCCACACCAGCAUCCCUCCACCUCCGUCACCGGAUUAGCAGAGGUGGUCCAGGGACGUGGCCAGAGAAGAGUCAACUGAGACUGCAGAAGAUCUGCACUGGAUUGCACUGCUUGAAACCUUCAUUCAUCUCACUGUAUGGAGCUGUAGACCUUCACAACUUACUCCCAUCUCUGCAAGCUAUUAAAAACUCACCUUUGACAGUCUAUCUCACAACAGUUGUGAAUAACACUCCGUAAUGGAUCCCACUGACCCAGUCACACUUUAGUGAAUGGGGCAGAGGGAGAAAUCAACAGUUAACAAGAUGUGCCAAUAAUUUCGACAGCUCAUUGGGGUGAUUGUACACAUCUGUCUACCAGGAUGU